CUUCUGCCCUCGCAACACAUACUUGCACUGCUUCUUUUUCGGGUCAUACCUGAAUUGACAUCUUGUAGGAGGAGUCUAAUACUUUCAUACUAUCAGAGGCAGAGGCAGAGGCAGAGGCAGAGGCAGAGGCACUGUGCUCUCAACCGCUCUCCCGCGCUAAUUUGGCAACAUUUUUGCCGCUUAUCUCUG
ensembl:ncRNA F28A12.5 ncRNA